rnacentral:rRNA from 1 species
CUACGGAGGGUGCAAGCGUUGUCCGGAUUUAUUGGGUUUAAAGGGUGUGUAGGCGGUGUAUUAAGUCAGUGGUGAAAGCCUGCGGCUCAACCGUAGAACUGCCAUUGAUACUGACACACUUGAGUAUGGACGAGGUAGGCGGAAUUUAUGGUGUAGCGGUGAAAUGCAUAGAUACCAUAAAGAACACCGAUAGCGAAGGCAGCUUACUAGGCCAUAACUGACGCUGAGGCACGAAAGCGUGGGGAGCGAACAGGAUUAGAAACCCUAGUAGUCC